GAUGAACGCUGGCGGCGUGCCUAAUACAUGCAAGUCGAGCGAACAGAUGAGGAGCUUGCUCCUCUGACGUUAGCGGCGGACGGGUGAGUAACACGUGGAUAACCUACCUAUAAGACUGGGAUAACUUCGGGAAACCGGAGCUAAUACCGGAUAAUAUCUUGAAACGCAUGGAUCAAUCGUGAAAGCCGGUUUUGCUGUCACUUAUAGAUGGAUCCGCGCCGCAUUAGCAAGUUGGUAAGGUAAAGGCUUACCAAGGCAACGAUAGGUAGCCGACCUGAGAGGGCUAUCUGCCACACUACAAUAGCGACACGGCCCAGACUCCUCUGGGAGGCAGCAGUAUGGAAUCUUACGCAAGGGACGAAAGCCUGACAGAGCAACGCCGCGUGAGUGAUGAAGGGCUUCGGAUCGUAAAACUCUGUUAUUAGUGAAGAACAAAUGUGUAAGUAACUAUGCACGUCUUGACGGUACCUAAUCAGAAAGCCACGGCUAACUACGUG
rnacentral:rRNA from 1 species